AACACCAUUUAUCGGAAGAACGGUCAUUUUUGUCAACUCGCCUCUUUGUGGGAUUGGUGUGGACCACCUUUCUCUGUCAUCAAUUGUAGUAGGUUUUUGUAUAGCAGCGCAUCACUGUGGGGCGUCUUUGCAGGAGGAACCCGCUUGACGGUCACUGGUCAGCCAUCCGUACCGCCUAAAGUGCAUCUCUUCCCUCCAUCUCAGGAAGAGAUCAAGAGUAAGGGCAAAGGCACCCUGGCCUGUCUCGUAGAUGGCUUUCACCCAAGUUCCAUCCAAGUCAACUGGCAGGCUGAUGGGAAAGCCAUCUCCUCAGGAGUGCAAACAUCUCCGUCCACCAAACAGGGUGACAAGUAUGUGGCCACCAGUUACCUCACUCUGAGUGAGCCAGAAUGGGCCAGCCAUGAGACGUACGCUUGCAAAGUGACACACGAGGGGAAGACCUUCGAGAAAGUGGUGAAGAAAUCCGAGUGUCCAUAAAUGCUGGAAAGCUCAGAGGUGGCCCUCAAGUCUCUCUCACCUGGACAGAAAGAGGGCUUCCUCCCCUCAGCCAUAUAUAUCCUCCGAUCCUUUCCAAAUGCUACUUCAGCCCAUCAAGGCUGAUUUCUGCCCUAUGUGGUUCCAUCCCCACCUCCACCUCCAUCUCUGUACUCCCUCCCCUGAAGAUCCUCUGUAGGUGAGUCCCUGAGGUUAUGAAUACCUUAAUAAAAUUUGAUACACUUCA